CGGUGGUCGCGCGGGGAGCGGGGGCGGCGGCGGCGGAACCGAAGCUCGGCGGGGCCCGCGGGGCCGGCGCCUCACGGACCCCGGGGACGGGAAGGGCUCGGCCCGGAGCCGCCCGGCGAGAGGAAGGGGGGAGCUGCGGCUGGCCUGUGUUUGACAGGUGUCACGGCUCCAGAUUUUUAAACAACAAACCGCAUCCCAGGAUCCGGCACGCCAUCAGAAUUUGUCCAGAUACAUGAAAAAAAAAUUAAAAAUAAAAGAGCAAUAGCACAGCUCCUCUCUCCUGCUGCUGCUGGGGGGGAAUGGACAGGUAGGAGCAGCGUCAGUGGUGUAAAAAAAAAGCAAAAAGCGAUGCUGAUAUCACAAAUGAUUCAUAUUGGAGGAAUUUCUGUCGGGCACGAGGAGGAAGUAAUGCCCAGUAGGAGUUUCCAACAAAUACUGGAACCUUACCAGCAUUUUAAUCCCCGUGAAUGAGAUACUCAAAUUGUGUUUUACCUCUUCGUCUCUAUGUACAAACUCUGUAAGAUAAUGAGGUAACAGAAGAAGGGACUACAUUGGCAUUUUCACAGGCUGAAAAAAUACAAUUUUGUUUGCUUUAAAAACUUGUUCCGUUAACAGACUACUAUAAAUAAAGAUUUUUUUUCUUGUUUUGA